rnacentral:misc_RNA from 1 species
GUGUUCCCUGCCCUCACGGGUAGAAACGCCCACCCUUGUAUAAUAUAUCUUGUUGCUUUGGCAGGCCGCCCUCGGGCACCGGCUCCGGCUGGAUCGUGCCUGCCAGAGGACCCCAAACUCUGAAUGUUAGUGUCGUCUGAGUAAACUUAAUUAAUAAAUUAAAACUUUUAACAACGGAUCUCUUGGUUCU